rnacentral:tRNA from 1 species
GCGCCUGUAGCUCAGCUGGAUAGAGCAACGGACUUCUAAUCCGUGGAAUCCGUGGGCCGAGAGUUCGAAUCCCUCCAGGCGCACCA